GGAGCAGGUGAGGUCUCAGGAAGUUUUCGAAGGAAGGGCACAAGGUCAGAAGGGAAUACAAUUCCAGGAGAAAAGGGCGUAAUAACAUUUAGAAGGGCGCACUUCUUUUCUGGAGGGGUGCAGGUACCCCCCCCCCCCACCAGGUCCGUCCCUGGGGAAGGUAAGGGUCAGUUUUGAUGUUCAUCUGUGUCAAGUAGUUGGUCACUAAGAUGGGAUUGUGACAAGCAGUUGUUAAUAGGCUAUAACAAGCAGUAUUUAGUAAGGUGUGUUGAAGAUGCUGUUACAGCCGUCUCUGUCAAUCUGAAAUGAAAAGAAAUUGGCAGAUGAGCUUAUAUGUAUAGUAACGAUACUAAAAUUACAAUAACCUAGGACAGGUACAACUGUCUCUCCUCUAGAAAAUGUCUCAAAACUUCUGUAAUGCAUCUCGUAUGAAGUAAAACUGAAAAACUGUAUUAUAUCCAAUUGAUCUCAAAAUAGCUACUACCGACUUUAGGACAGUUACACAGUUCACGAUAGAAGCAAAAAAAAAAAAAAAACUCGUUUCAGAUAGCAACCGCUCGUUUUGGUGGGAGCGGCGAUGCCUCGUCAUCAACCAACACUUAACAGGAUGGAACAGUCAUUCGCUUUGAGACAGUUAUAAAGAGUGGUUUCUCAGAUAACGAUACCGCAUGAGGAAGUAUUCGAUACAAGCUUCGAUAACUGCUUUGGCACGGGACCAAAAUCAUUGACAUAACCUACACUAAAUAAUCCUUAUUUAUUUGGGACAUCACCUGGAGAAUGGCGACCUUUAAUGAUCGUUAAGGUAUUGUGAAGAUGCCCAUUAGUCUCGGUUCCAACAAUGCUACAAAUGGAGUAGUCCAUCGGAUUUAUAUGAGGCGAGUUUGGAUGUCACAAAUUUAGAUACCACAUGAUCGAAAACAUUUAUUUCUUUAUUGCCCACAGGGGGCUAAACAUAGAGGGGACAAACAAGGACAAAAUUAAGUCGAUUACAUCGACCCCAUUGCGUAACUGGCACUUAUUUAAUCGACCCCGAAAGGAUGAAAGGCAAAGUCGACCUCGGCGGAAUUUGAACUUAGAACGUAACGACACACGAUAUACUGCAAAGCAUUUCGCCCGGCCUGCUAACGAUUCUGCCAGUUCGCCUUGAUCGAAAACAUUGUCUGACGUUCAUUCAUGGGUUAUAUGGGUUUUGUGAAGAUGUGUUGAGUCUUAUGGAAACGCGUAUGACUUUGCACUACGUACUUUAUCCAUCCAGGGCAUAAUAACUGUCCAGCACCUCAACGUAUCCGGCAGCAUUAAUUCUAAGGACUCCGUGGAAAGAUGCGAAGUGGCAUAAAAUGACCUUCGUUACUCACCACUCCUAAAACUAUCAUAGUUGCAGGAAACUCAUAGUGCACGAACUGGCCGCUCUACUGUAAGUUCGCAAUUUCUAAAUUGCCCUGUCCAGCACAUAUGGCAACAAGACUUCGUUUCUUGUGUUAAUAUUUAAUCUAUUAUAAUGGAUUGGAAAGAAAUAAAAGCCUUUUAAUUGAUUUAAAUUAAAUGUCCUCAAAUAUUCCUCACGCGCGCGUGCGCAUAUAUAUAUAUAUAUGUAUGAGGACGCAUGGCCUAGUGGUUAGAGUGUUGCACUAACGAUCGCUUUGAUCAAAAACGACUCCUGUCCGCUCGUCCACCAGAGAGAUUAAACUUGGAGUGCCUUGAUUAUAUCUAAAGAUGUUCACUCAACUCUGUAUUUAUAUUUUUAAUCGUGGUUUUCAUUUUGGAUUAAAAAUUUGCAAUUUUA